rnacentral:piRNA from 1 species
ACCAAAAAUGCCAAAUGCCUCCUGAG